GCCCGGGCGGCGGGCGCCCGGCGAGGGUGCCGAGCGCAGACCCUCUCCUCCCCGCGGCUCGGAGGGGGGAUGCAGCCCCGCGGCCCUUACCCGAGCGGGUGCGAGGGCGACGAAGCCGGCCACGCGCCCGCCUCCCGCCACCGCCUCCAGCCGCCGCCUGCCGCUGCGGAGAGGCGGCGCCGAGCGACGCCGGCCGGGGCGGGGCGCCGUCGUGCUCCUGAUUGGCUGGCUGCGCGGGGCCGCCUCGCUCGCGGGCGCCGAGGGGCCGGGCGGGAAGGGCCCGCUGUGGCCGGCGGGGAUUGGCGGAGGGCCCCGGGGCGUACACGCCGCUCCCCGGCGUUGGCGGGCUGGUGGGUGGGGCGGCCGGGUGGCCCCGCGGAGGCGCGACUCGUGAUUGGCCGGCGCGCCUUCCCUGCGGCUCUGGCGAUUGGCGGCUGCCGGGUGCGCGGCGCUGGUUGGGCGGCAGCCGCCCUGGUCCCGCCCCGCCGCCGGGGCUGCCUGGCGGAAGGGGAAGCGGGGGGGGCCGGCGGCGGUGGGAAGAUGGCGUACCAGAGCCUCCGGCUGGAGUACCUGCAGAUCCCGCCGGUCAGCCGCGCCUACACCACCGCCUGCGUCCUCACCACCGCCGCCGUGCAGUUGGAGUUGAUCACACCUUUUCAGUUGUACUUCAAUCCUGAAUUAAUCUUUAAACACUUUCAAAUAUGGAGGCUAAUCACCAAUUUCUUAUUUUUUGGUCCAGUGGGAUUCAAUUUUUUAUUUAACAUGAUUUUUCUAUACCGCUACUGUCGAAUGCUAGAAGAAGGCUCUUUCCGAGGUCGGACAGCAGACUUUGUAUUUAUGUUCCUUUUUGGUGGAUUCUUAAUGACCCUUUUUGGUUUGUUUGUGAGCUUAGUUUUCCUGGGCCAGGCCUUUACGAUCAUGCUCGUCUACGUGUGGAGCCGAAGGAACCCGUAUGUGCGCAUGAACUUCUUCGGCCUUCUCAACUUCCAGGCCCCCUUUCUGCCCUGGGUGCUCAUGGGCUUUUCCUUGUUGCUGGGGAACUCGAUCAUUGUGGACCUCCUGGGCAUUGCAGUCGGACACAUAUAUUUUUUCUUGGAAGACGUAUUUCCCAAUCAGCCUGGUGGCAUCAGAAUUCUGAAAACACCGUCUAUUUUAAAAUAAGAGAAGGAGAGCUAAGCCGUGAGGCAGACUGGGAACCAGGUGUAGGCUGAUCCGCUGUGUGACAUUAAGAAAGUCCGUCUCCGUCUUGUCCCUCGCUUUCCUGAGAGUGGAGCUUUGGUUUAUGGGACCUCUUCCUACUCCAGAAGGUUGUGUCCUUGAGACCUGCUGCAUUUAGAAGGAGUAAAAUGAAGGCUAUUUUUGAUACACCAGAUGAGGAUCCAAAUUACAAUCCACUACCUGAAGAGCGGCCAGGAGGCUUCGCCUGGGGUGAGGGCCAGCGCCUUGGCGGCUAAAGCGGCCGGUGCCAACCACGAGACCCAGCUGGGAAGGACUCGGUGGCACACCCGUUGGGAUUCUUUUAGCCUUUGUGUCAUGAAAGUGUGGACGCUUUUGACGGCUUGGCAGGUUUGAACUCCAGAAGCACUUUAUGGAAUGGUACACUAACGGAUCCAAACGCACUCGGAGCGGCCGGUCAGACCGGCCCUGGCAACGUGAUCUCUCCGAGCCGGACCGCCGCCAGCCACCACAUCCCCACGCGCUCGAGCUCUGGGGACUCAUCCAGAGCUCCCUCCUCCUCUUUGAUAGAUGAGGCCGUGGGUAAAUGGAAGUUUCAGAGAGGACACAAUAAAACUGAGUUCCAUCUCUCUCACUGAACGAAA